UAUUUAAAUAGUUUAAGAAAAAUUUUGAUUUGUGGAGUCAAUGAUGUAAAUACAUACUUUAAAU
rnacentral:tRNA from 1 species